rnacentral:lncRNA from 1 species
AAAUUAAACAGGUCUUAAUCAAUUUAUCAUACAUCGUAAGACACACCAUAAAAAUAAAUAUAAGCACAAAGUUAGGCAUUCGUAAUGUAAUAUUAGUGAGACAUUUUACCCUGCAAUUCUAUAUAAGCUAUUAAGGCUUGUAACAUUGAAAUAAGGUAUCUUCGUUUUCCACAUCUAUUUUAAUAUAUGCUAAAUUUAUAAGUAAAAUAAAUAAGUAACUUUCAUAUUAAAUAUAGACAUUAUUUAUUAAAGUAGCUAAUUUUAACUAUAUAGUGAUAUUGUAAAAAAAAAACUCAUGUUAUGACAUUGUUGUUUUAUGUAUCUUAUAUUAUUGAAUGAAGGUAUAGUUGUAUAAUAUAAUAAUACAUUUUUGGGCUUCACUAAAAGAUAAAUCGUUCGUAAGAACUCGAAUUCGAUUUUUGAGUGGAAAAUUUUCUUGGCCAAAUUCCCCCAUUUCCCCUUGUAGGGGGCUUUCCAUAUUCGCAAUCACAAACAUAAUUAAAGCACCUCACAACCCAAGGAUAGACACAGAUAGAUCUUGGACAAUCACCGUGUCUAUCGCAACCAACUUCUGCAAAGUCAAAUAAAAAUAAAUGAAUAAUACAAAAAUAAAAAUAAAUGCUAUGAGGUAAAAAGGUAAACAAUGUCCAGUAUUACUUACUUCCGUUGGUUACCACUAGAAAAAGAGAAAGAAUAAUGAACAGAUUAAAAAUUUGAGCCAUAUUUUCGCAUGAAUAAAAAUUUGUUUACACAAUUUAUAAUGUAUAAAUUUGUUGCUUGGAUAAUUUCAGGUAAAGAGUUUUUAGCUCUUAGGAGUUCAAGAAACCAUUAAUAAAUAUGAAUUAUUAUUAAUUGUCUCUAAGAUAGAUUAAUUUGUUGUGUUUAACUUUUAGCUCACUCUAUUGAUCACUUCAUUUUUUGAGGUAACUCAAUUGACCAAUUAAUCUUAGUAAAUAUCUCAAUUAAAUUUUUUGAUAUUCUUCAAAAAAAAAUUUAGAUUUUUUAUUUUAUAGUUUUUGAUGAUAGACAAGAGAAAUAUUUUAAAAGAUUAAUAAUAUAGAUGAUCGUUUAAAAUAAGGAAGGGUAGAUGGUUGUGUAUACCCCUGUUGUUAUCUCAAGUUUCGAUAAACUGUAUUUAUUGAAAAGUUGGUACAUUUAACAUAACAUUUAUUAAGACAGAAUAAAUUAUAUGAGAUGUAUUACCGAUGGAAAAGUCCUAAGUAAAGACAUUUAUUAAUCUAAAUGGAGAGUAUCCACAAGAGUAAUUAUAUCUUUGAUUAUAUCUCUUUGAAAGAGCUAGGUUCAUGAAUGUACAGCUGAAAAGAUAAGAGAGGAGAUUCCUCUUAUUAUAGCUAAGAAGGCAAGAGAGAAGACAUUGUUUGAAUUUCUCAUUUUAUCAAGUUUGCCUUUGAAUAUGAUGUUUCUCGAGUUCGUUUAUGAACUAAUCGAAGCAUUACUUUAUACUUAUGGUUAUGGACAUAGAAUAUUUUUACUAUUUAUUCUUGACUUAAGUUUGAUUUCGACUAAUGCAGCGUUCCAUUUGAAGAAGCAGUUCAAAUGCAAAGUGUAACAGCACGGGCCUCACACCUCACGUAUAGUAAAUGGUCUGUCACCGUACAUCACGAUCUUCUCAACCCCCUCUCUAGUGGGAGUUUAUGCCUUCCGUAGAAAAUCGAACCAUGUACCAUGAGGUUAAAGUACAUGUUCAAUCCAUUCACACUACCACCAAUUGAGCUAUACCAAACUCAUUGGUAAAUUGGCAACAUCUGAUCUAUCAUAACUAUACCACCUACUGUAGUCUGCAUUUUUUUUUAUUGUAAUUAUUAAUUGACUUCACUCCCUUCUUACAUAUGUUUUAUUAUAGCUCUAGGAUCCUUUAAUUUCCUGCACUAGUGGGGUUUUUUCAGUCUUUCAGAGGUAAGCUAGUGUCUUUUGAAAGUAUUGUAUACUAUUAUGUGUUCCUUGUUUUUGCUUAUUUUUGUUUGUUAGUCUAUAUUUGAUUUUUUUAGUUCAAAUGUUAAUGUUACCUAAGACUCAAAUUGGUGUUAAAUUGGUGUAAGACUCAAAACCAGGUAUAUGAAUUGGGACUUCUCACUAUGCAUAUUCAGUUUCCUUCAAGAAAGCUGAAAUUCUAUUAUGGUUUGUUUGACUUUUUACUAUCAAGAGGGAGAUGUUUGUGUUGGAUGUCCUUGUCCGUAAGUUUGCCCUCAUUGUCAGCAGCUCAGCGCCAUCACUCAACUCUUUGACCUUAAUCCCACAAGGUAUACUCUUAUUUAUUUGAAUAGGGUGUAGAAUUACUUGUCAUUAUUUCUCCAUUUGUUUAGGAUGUAUAAUUACUUGUCAUUAUUAUAUGGAAUUACUUUAAACUGGAAUUACUUCAAACUCGAACUUAUAGUGGCAAACUGGAAUUACUUCAAUAGGAUUGUGUUUGAAAAGGAGGCAUGGUUUGUUUGCCAAAAGUAUCUCCUUGAUAGUGAAGCAUAUUACUCUAUAUUUACAUUUUUUAGUGAUAAUUAAGGUAUACUCCUUCCGUCCUCAAAAUAUAAAAAUUGGUCAAUAGGCCACCCCUCCAUAUUAUUGCCGUGAUUGUAAAAUACCAAAUUUAACCGUGGCUAAAUUUUGCAAUGCCCCAAUAGGCCACCCCUCAAAAUUAAUCCGGUAAACUUCAUUGGUCAAAUGCACUUUUAGCUACAGUUUUGACCGUGGCUAAAUAGCACUUUUUUUAGUGCCACAUUCUCUUUCAAUCUCUCCCACAAUGUUGUUUGUAAAGAUGUUGUAAGGCUGUAUCUUUUCCAUUUAUCUCAAUACGUAUAUAUACAAGUAAUUGCCAAUUUACAUGUGCUUAGUUUUGGCAACUAAGUGAUUACAAAUAAUUAUAUAAUAAUAACAAAUGAUAUUGCAAUGAUUACAAAUAAUAUUCUAUUAAUUGAUAAUAAUAGNNUAUAUAUGGGCUUAACAUUUUUUUUUUGAAAAUUACUUUUUUCGCCCCCGUGUUCCUCUUAAACCCCCCAAAAAUCCCAAAAUAACCUUGAAUUUGGGGGGUUCAGGAUGAUAUGGAUUCUAGAAUCCGAAAUACAUUAGGACAAGCAAAUUGCAGGUUUGGAUUGUACAGUCUGAAAUGGACAAGCAAAUUACAGGUUUGGAUCCUGCGAACCGAAAUGGACAAGCAAAUUAACAGGUUUGGAUUGUACAGUCCGAAAUCAUGUUUUAUGCGGAAAAUUAUAAAAUGAACAAUUUACAAAAUUUUAAAAAAACUGCCCAGUUUGGCAUGUAGGAUCCGAAAUAGUUUCGGAUUAUGUGAUCCAAAGGCGACUGCAAUCAUAAAACCAUGAAAAUUGAAAAAAUUAACGGUUUAAAGCGCAUAUUACCUCUUGUAUGACCUCGAUUGAGUAUUGCGACCCUCUUUGAGUGAAUAAACGUUNNNNNNNNNNNNNUUGCUUUCAAGCCUCUGAUACACCAAAAAAUUGCCCUAGUUCCAAAGCUCCCGAUUGAGUGUCCAAGUGGUUAUGAAAGUGCAACUUCUGUCAUAUAGGCUAUAUAGACUCUAUUCGGAUUCUACGAACCGAAUAUCAGCGUUUCCGGUUGGUAGAAUCCGAAAUGAUGCAAAAUUUUAAAAAGCAAAGCAUUUCGGAUUGUAUAGUCCAAAAUCAUGUUUUCUUGGGCAAACCAUCAACGAUGUACAAGCCAGGCAUAUCCAGUGGCUGGCUUAUUUAAAUUGGUUUCGGAUUGUAUGGUCCAUAUCAAACAAGUUUCGGAUUCUAUACUCCAAACACAUUAAAAAUAAGGAUGUUCGGAUUGUAUGGUCCAAACCCAGAUUUUUCUGGGCAAAACAUCACGUACAACACAGGCAUAACCAGUCAAUUGCUUGUUUAAACUGAUUUCGGAUUGUAUGGUCCAUAAUAAACAAAUUUCGGAUUCUAUAGUCCAAACGCAUUUAAAGGGUCAAAAUGGUCACUAUGUGGCAAAAUUAUCAAAUUUGAUUAGAUGAUCGUGUAAAGUUGUUUUACACUAUUANNNNNNNNNNNNNNNNNNNNNNNNNNNNNNNNNNNNNNNNNNNNNNNNNNNNNNNNNNNNNNNNNNNNNNNNNNNNNNNNNNNNNNNNNNNNNNNNNNNNNNNNNNNNGAUGAAAAUUUUAAUAUUAAAAUAUUAAUUUUUUAGUCUCAUUUUACCCGUGCUUGGCACGGGUCCGGAUACUAGUUGUUGUUUUAUGUACUACUCCGACCUCUUUUAUAAGUAAAUAUAGGAGUAUCUUAUAUUAUUGAUUUGAGGUAACAACAAUAGUUGUAUAGUAAUGAUACAUUUUCGAGCUUGUCAAAGAAUUGAAACCAUAAGAGAAACAUAUAUCAAAAUGUGCAAGAAAUAUUUAUGUACAAAUUAAGUAUGUAUUUAUUAGUAUACAAUAUAAUUAUAUAAUUAUAUUUUACUAAUAAAUGUAUACUUAAAAAUUAUUAAUUCCACACUGACAAAAAUAAUUAAUGCACCUCGCAACCAUAGGCCAGUUACACAUAGUACUUGGACAAUCAUUAUGUCUUUUACAAGGAAGUUCUGCGAAGUCAAAUAAAAAUAAAGAAAUAUUAUCAAAAGAAAAUAAAAUGUUAUGUAAAAUUAAAAUAUAUAUAAAGAUGUAAACAAUGUUCAAAAUUACUUACUUUCGUUGUUUACCACAACAAAUAGAAAAAGAAUAAUUAACAGAGCAAAAAUUUGAGCCAUUUUUUUCUAAUUUGAGUAUAAUAAAUAAAAACGUGUUUGAACAAUUUAUAAGUAUAAAUUUGUUGUUUGGUUAACUUCAAGUAA